AAAAAUUUAGUUAAUCUAUAACAUUAGUAUGUCAAGCUAAAAUAAUUGGCCCCCCCAGUAAUUUUUA
rnacentral:tRNA from 1 species